rnacentral:lncRNA from 1 species
UUUUUUGAUAUAAAAUCCAAUUUUUAAAACUUCAGCAAUAUUCAAUACACCAUUUCAUCUUACAAUACACUUCACACAAUUUUCACACAACUUUCCUUCGAUUUUUCAAUGAUUUUCUCCUUACAAACGAAGUCUAAUUAAUCUCAUAAAAUUGCAAUAUUAUUCUUCGUCGAUGAAACGGGCAGUAUCCCAUCAAUGAAAAAUAACGGAUCCCCAAACAAACGUCAUCCCCAAAGAUUAAAAUUCACGCCAUUCCUCCUCCAGGAUAUUAUCUCCGACCAAUCUAUCUUAAUAUUUAACCCUUCAAAGGGUUAAAUAGUUGUCCAACCUACUUUCCAUCACUUUCGACGCUUUCACGUGCGAUCGAUUCACGUGCCCAACAGCACGGUCAACCUAACGAGCGUUGGACCCCCUAAGACAAAUGAUAAGGGCGAGUUCGAUCGAAUUUAUCAAAGAAAUAAUAAAGAGGAGUAUCCUCGCUGACCAUUCCGGACAGUGCACACGGAAAAGGUGUGAACUGUUUAAGCCGAGGUGUCGGCUCGUCAGCAGUCAGCAAGGUGUUGGGCCACGAUCAUUUAUUAUCCCGAGAUUGAAUUUCUCCUCGGCUCGGCCAGCGCCUCGGUUUAAUUAAAAUAUCGUUAUGGGUAGGCGUGGAUAUUCGUGCCGCCGUGGAACGUUUCUGACCCAUCUCUCUCUCUCUCUCUCUCUCUUUCUCUCUCUAUCUCUCUUUUCUUUCUCUCUCUUUCUUUUCUUUCUCUCUCCUCUCUUUUCGAGGCUCGUUCGCGGUUUAAACGAGCAACAAGAUCGGGGAACGGAGAACAGGAGACGAUGGAAAAGCACGAAAGGCUUCGGGUAUCGCCUCGACACGGAAAUCGGGACACGGGACGGGUGGAAUAUCGAUCUUGGCUCGCGGGAUUAGGAGAGCAGGAGUGGAGACAGGUGUUCGGUGUUUCCUGAGGUGUUUUAAAAUAAUCGGUAAUACGUAUUUUUAUCUCGCAGUUCGUGAUCAUUUAGAAUUGAAAUUUUUCAGAAUUGAUUCUGUGUAGAUAUUUUUGUAGGAAUAAAUACGGCUUUUUUUUGGAAUAGAAGUUAGAAUUUGUAAAAGAAUUGUUCGGAAUUCAUUGUGGAUUAAAAUUAAUUGCAAAAUGUUUUUCGAGGAAGAAAAGGUGGUCGAUUUCGUGGAACACCGCGUACGAAUGGUGUCGUGAUCGUUCCCAGAAGGAUUCGUAAUUAAACGAGGAGAUCGCAUUCCGAUACAGGGGGCCGUUUCUCUUGGUGCACAUACAAUCAGCAUAAGCAAUCGUCUGCGUGCGAAUUCGGACUGAGAAUAUCGGUGCGUCUGUCCGGAGAAAAAAUAUUGUUAUAAGGCGAGAGCAUCCCCUCUCGUAAAUAUCGUACCGUUAAAACGCAUCUGAGCCGAAGGAGCUAUUUCCAUCCCUUAAAUUUAAGAUUAGCCGCGUACAUCACGUUGAAAAAAUAUUUUGAACGAAGUGAUAUCGGAUAGAUAAUAUUCGAGAAUUUGAAUUUGAGGUUAAUUAGAAUUGGAAAUUGGAAAAUAUUCAUAAACGAUCGAGUAAAUGCGAAAUUUAAGAAAUAUCAUGCGACUAAAUGAUUUCUGAGUUAUUCAAUUCUUCGAUAAUUUAAAAAAAAAAAUUGCUCAAAAUUGCUUUGUGUAAAAAAGGAGGGCGUAACAAAGAAACUCAUUUCACAGUCCAUCGUAUUUAUUGCCUUCCAUCAUAUUUAGACAGAACAGAAAACACGCAUCCUCGUCAAUACUUUCCUUCGUAACAAAAUAAUUACCAAUAAAAGAAGCUAUAUUUU